GAAUGUAGGCACGAUUUGUUGGGACAGCUGAAACGAAAUAGCUUCUGAUUCUGGGGAAGACUUACAUGGGACGCAACGGCCCGAAUUUCUGACAAGUGUUCUGCAGAAACAACUGAGUCUCUCUUUAAGAGGGACAAACGUUUCAAUGUUCUACUAUUGAAUCCGGACAGAAAAAAUACGUAUAGGAAACAAGGAGAAACAUGAGGACGGGAAUUUUUUUUAAAAAAGAACGUAAUGAAAAGAUGAGAACAGCAAGAAGGAGGAAAAGAAGAAAUAAGAGUGUCCAGCCACCAACCCCCCGAUCACCUGAGACAAGAAGGCAGACACACACUGUGCACUUCAUAGACGUCACAGCUCCAGAGUACAACAGGAGAAUGAGAAGUGGGCAAGCCCAGGAAGGCUUCACAUCUUUAUGAAGUGAUUCUCCAGCAGCUGGCGGUUAGUGCUCAUGGAACCUCUUUCCAUCCGGGAAUAAGCUCCAGAGAGAACUCAAGACAAAAUGGACACAGAAGAGCGUUCUGCUUCAAACCUUCCAGGUCAGAAGGAAACAAUAAAGUCAAAUCCUCAAAACAUAGUAUAUAAAUUAAAUUAUCUAUAUUCAGGACUAUAUCUCACCUCAGCCUGGCCUCCUUUGCAUUGCUCCCUGGAACAGAAAAGCACCACAGGCCUUAAGACCACAGACUCUGCAGCCAUACUGCCAUACAACUGAAUUCCAGCUCUGUUCCUUACUAGCUGUGUGACCUUGGGGAAGUAACACAACCUCUCUGGGUCUGGAUAUUCUCAUCUAUAAAAGGGAGAUAAUAAUUAUAUUUGUCUCCUAGAGUUAAUAUGAGCUUUAAGUGAGUUAAUAUUUGUUAAGCUCCUGGAAAGAGUCUGACACCCAGUAAGUGGCACUGUGUAAGUAUUUGUUAAAUAAAGUAAAAACUUGGUUCAG